rnacentral:rRNA from 1 species
GAUGAACGCUGACAGAAUGCUUAACGCAUGCAAGUCGAUGGGGAAGUGGUGCUUGCACCAUGGUAACCAUGGCGGACGGGUGAGUAACGCGUAAGGAACUUACCUGCGGGACCGGGAUAACAGCAGGAAACUGCUGACAAGACCGGAUAAGGUCAUUAAGCUGCAUAGCUUAGUGAUGAAAGGAGACGCCUGCGGAGAGCCUUGCGUCCUAUUAGCUAGUUGGAGGGGUAACGGCCCACCAAGGCGAAGAUAGGUAGCCGGCCUGAGAGGGUGGACGGCCACAAGGGGACUGAGAGACGGCCCUUACUCCUACGGGAGGCAGCAGUGGGGAAUAUUGGACAAUGGGGGCAACCCUGAUCCAGCAAUUCUGUGUGCACGAAGACGGUUUUCGGAUUGUAAAGUGCUUUCAGCAGGGAAGAAGGAAGUGACGGUACCUGCAGAAGAAGCGACGGCUAAAUACGUG